CCCAUAGCUCAGUCGGUAGAGCGACGGACUGUUAAUCCGCAGGUCCCUGGUUCGAGCCCAGG
rnacentral:tRNA from 2 species